GACGAACGCUGGCGGCGUGCUUAACACAUGCAAGUCGAACGGAAAGGCCCUGCUUUUGUGGGGUGCUCGAGUGGCGAACGGGUGAGUAACACGUGAGUAACCUGCCCUUGACUUUGGGAUAACUUCAGGAAACUGGGGCUAAUACCGGAUAGGAGCUCCUGCUGCAUGGUGGGGGUUGGAAAGUUUCGGCGAUUGGGGAUGGACUCGCGGCUUAUCAGCUUGUUGGUGGGGUAGUGGCUUACCAAGGCUUUGACGGGUAGCCGGCCUGAGAGGGUGACCGGCCACAUUGGGACUGAGAUACGGCCCAGACUCCUACGGGAGGCAGCAGUGGGGAAUAUUGCACAAUGGGCGGAAGCCUGAUGCAGCAACGCCGCGUGCGGGAUGACGGCCUUCGGGUUGUAAACCGCUUUCGCCUGUGACGAAGCGUGAGUGACGGUAAUGGGUAAAGAAGCACCGGCUAACCACGUG
rnacentral:rRNA from 1 species